ensembl:lncRNA
UCCCCGUUUUUCGCCCCAAAUCCCCGUUUUUCACCAAAAUCCCCGUUUUUCACCCCAAAUCCUGCAGGCUGAUUCCCAUCCUGGUGCACGGGAUGCGCUACUCCGAGAUCGACAGCAUCCUGCUCAAGGGCGCCGCGGAGGAGGACGGCGCGGCGCCGGACGGCGAGCAGGACGUCCGGCCGUGCUACCUGCGGAAGCGCUCGGCCCAACGCUGCUCAAGGAGCUGCUUUUCCACCUGGAGUGGGUGGGCAAGGAGUCGGGGAUCCUGGUGCUGGGGGACAUCGCCAAAGGAGUCCAUCCAGAAGCUGAUGCCGCCGCUGAUCCAGAAGUGCAACGAGCUCAAGGACAAGGACGAGGACAAGGACCUGUUCCCGCUGCUCGAGGUGCCCCCGAGGGUGCUGGCAGGGUGGCAGGGUGCCCGUGCCACCCGUGACGCUGUCCCCGCUGUCCCCGCUGCCUGUCGGUGGCCGCGGCGCUGCAGCGCGGAUUCCUGCCCCACCGUGAGCCGGGGCACCGGCGCUGCGUGGCACCGGUGGCACCCACGGCAGGGACACCCACGGCGGGGACACCCACGGACGUGACACCCACGGCGGGGACACCCAUGUCCCCAUGGCAGUGACACCCAUGUCCCCAUGGUGGUGACACCCACGGUGGUGACACCCAUGUCCCCAUGGCGGUGACACCCAUGUCCCCACAUCCCCGUGUCCCCACAGCCGUGACACCCACGGCAGUGACACCCAUGUCCCCAUGGCAGUGACACCCAUGUCCCCAUGGUGGUGACACCCACGGCGGUGACACCCAUGGUGGUGUCACCCACAGCGGUGACACCCAUGUUCCCAUGUACCCGCAGCAGUGACACCCAUGGCGGUGACACCCAUGUCCUUGCAUCCCCAUGUCCCCAUGGUGGUGACACCCAUGGCGGUGACACCCAUGUUCCUAUGUACCCGCAGCAGUGACACCCACGGCAGUGACACCCACGGCGGGGACACCCAUGUCCCCAUGGCGGUGACACCCAUGGUGGUGACACCCAUGUCCCCACGGCAGUGACACCCAUGUUCCCAGACGGUGACACCCAUGUCCCAAUGGCGGUGACACCCAUGGCAGUGACACCCAUGUCCCCACGGCAGUGACACCCAUGUCCCCACAGUGGUGACACCCAUGUCCCACGGCAGUGACACCCACGGCAGUGACACCCAUGUCCCCAGGCGGUGACACCCAUGGCGGUGACACCCAUGUCCCCACGGCAGUGACACCCAUGUCCCCACGGCGGUGACACCCAUGGCAGUGACACCCAUGUCCCCACGGCGGUGACACUCAUGUCCCAAUGGCGGUGACACCCAUGUCCCCACGGCGGUGACACCCACGGCAAUGACACCCAUGCCCCACGGCAGUGACACCCAUGUCCCCAUGGCGGUGACACCCACGGCAGUGACACCCCAGUCCCGCGGGUUCCGGUGCCCGGUUCCCGGUCCGGUUCUUUUUUCACCGUUUCCGGGGCGGGUUGGGGGGAGGGGCGGUGCCAUAAAGGCCUUUGUGGACCGAGCGGGCCGAGUCCGCGUCCUCCGUUACCGGCGGGGGAAA